rnacentral:rRNA from 1 species
UGCCAGCAGCCGCGGUAAGACGGAGGGUGCGAACGUUGCUCGGAAUCACUGGGCGUAAAGCGCGUGUAGGCGGACUGUUAAGUCUGGCGUGAAAGCCCGGGGCUCAACCCCGGAAGUGCGUUGGAUACUGGCAGUCUUGAGUAUGGGAGAGGAAAGUGGAAUUCCGAGUGUAGGAGUGAAAUCCGUAGAUAUUCGGAGGAACACCAGUGGCGAAGGCGGCUUUCUGGACCAAUACUGACGCUGAGAUGCGAAAGCGUGGGGAGCGAACAGGAUUAGAUA